rnacentral:rRNA from 1 species
GUGUCAGCCGCCGCGGUAAUACAGAGGGUGCGAGCGUUGUCCGGAAUCACUGGGCGUAAAGGGCGCGUAGGCGGUCCAGUAAGCGUGUGGUGAAAGCCCGGGGCUCAACCCCGGGUCGGCCGUGCGAACUGCGGGACUCGAGCACUGUAGAGGCAGGCGGAAUUCCGGGUGUAGCGGUGGAAUGCGUAGAGAUCCGGAAGAACACCGGUGGCGAAGGCGGCCUGCUGGGCAGUAUAGCUGACGCUGAGGCGCGACAGCGUGGGGAGCAAACAGGAUUAGAUACCCCCGUAGUCC